rnacentral:pre_miRNA from 1 species
UAUAUUUGACACCGUUGACUUUUAAGCAAAACUUUGACCAUUCGUCUUAUUUAAAAAAUUUAUACAAAUAUCAUCUAUUUUGAUAUGAGUUGUUUCAUUAUUAAAGAAAUUUGUAAGAUGACUUUUGUUUUUAUAUAUUUGAUUAAAAUUUUUAAAUAAGACGAAUGGUCAAAGUUGAGUUUAAAAGUCAACGGUGUCAAAUAUA